UUAAAUAACACUUUGUAUCCUAAAAUAUUAUACAAUAAAAUUAUAAAAUUUUAUGAGAAUUUAAUCUUGUAAAUUUAUUUCUUUCCUCUUUAUUUACUGUUACUUGACUUAAUUCAUGAUAUAAUGUAAUUCCAUUAAUUAUUGAACUCAUACAAAUGUAUUUGUUGAAUCAACCUAUUUAAAAUUUCACCUGUUCAAUAAUUUUACCUAUGCAGUUAUUCUUUCAAAACUAUUUUUUUAUUUGAAAUGCAUUUUAGCAAAUCGAAAAUAUUUUUUGUCGAGUAUUGAUUCGUCACAAUUUGGAUUAAAAUUUUUUCAAGUAUGCCUUUCAUGUUAUGCAAUAUUUUAAGACUGUUAUUAUCUGUUGAACAAUAAAAUUCCAUUUAUUAAUUACAUGGCAAUAUUUGGUAACGUAUUGUUGAAUUUUUUAAUAAUCAAUUGCAUUUGUAUUGCGUGUGUGAUUGCGACAAUUAAAAUACAUAUCUAUUCAUACUAUCUGUAUGACAUUGGUAUACUGAUUUAUGAAUUCAUCAAAAUUAUAAUACAUGUUAUUAUUUUUUCUGUUAAAAAAUGUGUAUCUCCGUAGUACACAUAAACAUACUUAAUGUACUAUUAGACAAGAAUAUUUUUACGUAUUUAUAUUUUGAAUUGUUACUUAACUAAUAAGCUAAUAAAUUAAUUUUUCGUCUUUUGGAUUAUAUGUUUUUUUCAACUAUGAUUGUAGGUUUAUACAUAAAAAUAUAUCUUUCACGAAAGAAACUGUUUAUGUUUGUACGUAAGAUUAUACUUUUUACGAAAGAAACUUUAUUCAUUCUCAAUAAAAAAGCAAUACUGCAUAAAUUUUGAUAAGAUAGAUAUUAGUCAUGUUAUUAUCGUGACACGUUUACUCAUCAAGUUGAUAUAUGCGUGUAUAUAAGACAGUGAAAAUGUAGAUGCUGCAAGAAACUAUCUCGCUUGGAGUCGAAUACAAAAUAAAAUUACAUUAUGAGAAUGAAGUUCUUGAUUCUACUUUUAACUGUGAUCAUAACUUUGACAUUCUCCAAAGUAAACUGCGUACCAAUUGCUGAGCCAUCGGCUGAACCAUGGGAUAAUAUUGAUCUCUGUGCGCAGUUAAAGAAACCAGGACAAAGUCCACCAAUAAUUUGUCCUUAACA